rnacentral:rRNA from 1 species
UACGGAGGAUUCGAGCGUUAUCCGGAUUUAUUGGGUUUAAAGGGUGCGCAGGCGGGUUGAUAAGUCAGUGGUGAAAGGUUUACGCUUAACGUAGACAUUGCCAUUGAAACUGUCGAUCUUGAGUACAAAUGAGGUAGGCGGAAUGUGUUGUGUAGCGGUGAAAUGCAUAGAUAUGACACAGAACACCGAUUGCAAAGGCAGCUUACUGGGAUGUAACUGACGCUCAGGAACGAAAGCGUGGGGAUCAAACAGG